rnacentral:rRNA from 1 species
UCCUACGGGAGGCAGCAGUAGGGAAUAUUGGACAAUGGGCGAAAGCCUGAUCCAGCAAUGCCGCGUGAGUGAUGAAGGCCUUAGGGUUGUAAAGCUCUUUUACCCGGGAUGAUAAUGACAGUACCGGGAGAAUAAGCCCCGGCUAACUCCGUGCCAGCAGCCGCGGUAAUAGA